rnacentral:piRNA from 1 species
UGGUAAAUAUAUAUCUCACGG